GAUGAAGAACGUAGCGAAAUGCGAUAAGUAAUGCGAAUUGCAGAAUUCAGUGAGUCAUCGAAUCUUUGAACGCACAUUGCGCCCUGUGGUAUUCCGCAGGGCAUGCCUGUUCGAGCGUCAUUUCAACCCUCAAGCCUCACUUGGUGUUGGGCCCUGCCCGCCGCGGCCGGCCCUAAAGAUAGUGGCGGCGCCGCCUGGCCCUCAGCGUAGUACAGCUCUCGCUCCAGGGUCCGGCGGCAGCCUGCCAGAACCCCCCAACUCUGUGGUUGACCUCGGAUCAGGUAGGGAUACCCGCUGAACUUAAGCAUAUCAAUAAGCGGAGGA
rnacentral:misc_RNA from 1 species